UGACUAAGAUGGGUUAAUUCAUUGCAAAUAGCGAAAUUGUAGUGAGGGGAAGUAAGUUAUAUAAGGGAGAAGAGGAGAUGGUGUUGGAGGUGAGGGAAAUAGGUGAAAGAUAAAAGGAUCAGCAAGAGAAGAGAUGUAGAAGAGGUGUUUGAAGAUGAGGAUUAUUUGGGUGAGAUUUGAAAAGGAGGAAGAAAUUACAUAAGAAGAUCAUUGGAAAGGGCAUUAAUUUUG
rnacentral:lncRNA from 1 species